rnacentral:rRNA from 1 species
AUAAACUAUGCCUGCCAGCGAUCCGCCGAAGUUCCUCCGAUGACUCGGCGGGCAGCUUCCGGGAAACCAGAGCUUUUGGGUUCCGGGGGAAGUAUGGUUGCAAAGCUGAAACUUAAAGGAAUUGACGGAAGGGCACCACCAGGAGUGGAGCCUGCGGCUUAAUUUGACUCAACACGGGAAAACUCACCAGGCCCGGACACCGGAAGGAUUGACAGAUUGAGAGCUCUUUCUUGAUUCGGUGGGUGGUGGUGCAUGGCCGUUCUUAGUUGGUGGAGCGAUUUGUCUGGUUAAUUCCGAUAACGAACGAGACUCUAGCCUACUAACUAGGCGUACCCGGUAUCCACAAUCGUGCUACCGGCGAUCAAAUUUCUUCUUAGAGGGACAGGCGGCUUCUAGCCGCACGAGACUGAGCAAUAACAGGUCUGUGAUGCCCUUAGAUGUCCUGGGCCGCACGCGCGCUACACUGAAGGAAUCAGCGUGUCUUCCCUGUCCGAAAGGACCGGGUAACCCGCUGAACCUCCUUUGUGCUAGGGAUUGGGGCUUGCAAUUGUUCCCCAUGAACGAGGAAUUCCCAGUAAGCGCGAGUCAUAAGCUCGCGUUGAUUACGUCCCUGCCCUUUGUACACACCGCCCGUCGCUACUACCGAUUGAAUGAUUUAGUGAGGUCUUCGGACUGGUGCGCAGAGGCCGCUUUCGCGGUCUCUGAUGUUGCCGGAAAGAUGACCAAACUUGAUCAUUUAGAGGAAGUAAAAGUCGUAACAAGGUUU